rnacentral:misc_RNA from 1 species
UUUCCGUAGGUGAACCUGCGGAAGGAUCAUUAUUGUAUAACCGAGGUGCGAGGGCUGUCGCUGACCCGAAAGGUCGUGCACGCCCGAGUGCCCUCACACACAUCCAUCUCACCCCUAUGUGCACCACCGCGUGGAUCCCCCUUUGGCUUGUUCGGAGGGGGGCUUACGUUUUCACACAAACUUUGUAUGCAGUGUAGAAUGUAUUUUUUGUUUUUGCGAUCACGCAAUCAAUACAACUUUCAACAACGGAUCUCUUGGCUCUCGCGUCGAUGAAGAACGCAGC